CAUCGAAAUUCAGCAAUUGACUCUCGCUCUGAAUGCAAUUUCGAUUCCAUUUCAUUCCGUUGGUUUCAUGCGUUGCCAGUCCCCUCUUUUUCUUUUUCUUCCUUUUAUAUAAUUACUUUCUUAUUUGUGUUUUUUUUUUCUUCCGAUGGAAGAUUUGCAGCUGUACGAAGGAUUUGAACUUCCGCUGAUCAUUGUGAAAGGCUGCUGAAAGUGCUAUCUAUUGUUUCUCACGAUUAUUGAUUGUGGCGAUUGCUUAGAAGUGUGCCUGCUUACCUCAUGAGUUCAACAGUUUCAACAUCUCGAGGAAUACAUU